CCUUCUUUAAAGCUUCAGCAGCGUUCCUCAUUUCACUGGAGUUGUAGUGGCAGGCUCACCGGCGUACUACAGUUGCUCGCCAGCUCAACCAUGGCUUUAAUAAUGAGGGUACUUCAAUUGUCUCUACUCCUUGAUGUAGGGUGUCAAGUACAUGCUUACAGGAUCGGGUAUGCUGAGCCGGAGAUGCCUACGUAUGGGCUGCAGCAGCCUCCUAGCUACAAUUCCCAGCAGCAGUUGGAACAACCUCCUAGCUACCAGCCCCAGCCACAGCAACCUUCUAGCUACAAGCCACAGAAGCCUAGCUACGAUCACCCCCAGCAGCAGCAGCAUCUUAGCUACAAGCCGCAGCAGCAGAAUCCUAGCUACAAGCGCGAGCAGCAGCAUCC